ensembl:lncRNA
AUAAAUUCAGCUGUUCCAUUGGAUUCAUUAAUCAACUGUUCUACGGAUCAGUAAUGUCAUUUGCCUACUGCUGCUAUCUGGGGACACAUUGGUAGGUGUAGUUGUGUGUGUGUGUGUGUGUGUGUGUGUGUGUGUGUGUGUGUGUGUGUGUGUGUGUGUGAGUGUGUGAGUGUGUGUGAGUGUUCAGGGGAGUCCCAGUGAGAGAGAGAGGGUGCUAGGUUACAGGGCUAUGACUUUCUGUAUCUAAGGUAUGACCUACUCAACCUCUCUUUACAGGGUUCAGCAUCCCAACUCACUGCUGGCCGACACUCUAUAUCUUUCAGCAUCUCAACUCACUGCUGGCCGAGGCUCUAUAUCGUUCAGCAUCCCAACUCACUGCUGGCCGACACUCUAUAUCUUUCAGCAUCCCAACUCACUGCUGGCCGAGGCUCUAUAUCUUUCAGCAUCCCAACUCACUGCUGGCUGACACUCUAUAUCUUUCAGCAUCUCAACUCACUGCUGGCCGAGGCUCUAUAUCGUUCAGCAUCCCAACUCACUGCUGGCCGAGGCUCUAUAUCGUUCAGCAUCUCAACUCACUGCUGGCCGAGGCUCUAUAUCGUUCAGCAUCCCAACUCACUGCUGGCCGACACUCUAUAUCUUUCAGCAUCUCAACUCACUGCUGGCCGAGGCUCUAUAUCUUUCAGCAUCCCAACUCACUGCUGGCCGACACUCUAUAUCUUUCAGCAUCCCAACUCACUGCUGGCCGAGGCUCUAUAUCGUUCAGCAUCCCAACUCACUGCUGGCCGACACUCUAUAUCUUUCAGCAUCCCAACUCACUGCUGGCCGAGGCUCUAUAUCUUUCCACAGAUCCUUGCGACAUGGGGCCGUGCAUUAUCAUGCACAAGGUGAUGGUGGCGGAUGAAUGGCACGACAAUGGGCCUCGGGAUCUCGUCACUGUAUCUCUGUGAAUUUAAAUUGCCAUAGAUAAAAUGCAAUUGUGUUUGUUGUCUGUCGUCCUCACGAGGGUCUUGACCUGACCGCAGUUACGCGUCGUAACAGACUUCAGUGGGCAAACGCUCACCUUCGAAGGCCACCGGUGUGCUCUUUACGGAUGAUUCCCGGUUUAAACUGUACCGGGCAGAUGGCGGACAGCGUGUAUGGCGUCGUAUGGGCGAGCGGUUUGCUGAUGUCAACGUUACGAACAGUGUCCCGUGGAGGCGGUAUGGGUUUAUUUUAUCAAGAUUUUUUUCAUGUUAUUUGUAACUUAUUUUGUGCAUAAUGUUUCUGCCACCGUCUCUUAUGACCGAAAAGAGCUUCUAGAUAUCAGGACAGCGAUUACUCACCUUCUACUGGAAGAAUAUAACUAUUUGUUUUAAUGAGAUACCGUGACGAGAUCCUGAGGCCCAUUGUUAUGCCAUUCAUUCGCCGCCAUCACCUCAUGUUUCAGCAUGAUAAUGCACGGCCCCAUGUCCAAGGAUCUGUACACAAUUCCUGGAAUCUGAAAAUGUCCCAGUUCUUCCAUGGCCUACAUACUCACCAGACAUGUCACCCAUUGAGCAUGUUUGGGAUGUCACGCUGCAUGAGGCAAAUGGUGGUCACACCAGAUACUGACUGGUUUUCUGAUCCACAACCCUACCUUUUUUUUAAGGUAUCUGUGACCAACAGAUGCAUAUCUGUAUUCCCAGUCAUGUGAAAUCCAUAGAUUUAGGACCUAAUGAAUUUAUUUCAAUUGACUGAUUUCCUUAUAUGAACCGUAACUCAGUAAAAUCUUUGACACUUUUGCAUGUUAUAUUUCUGUUCAGUGUAUUUGAUUUUCUGUUUGAUAGUUUGGA